UCUUCACAAAGUGUAAACAAAAAUGGAAUCGUAUCAGAUUUUGGCGGUUGAAGGAUUUCUCCAUUGAUAUACAUAACUGGUUCGGACGUCGUCUAUCACCCGCCAUCGCGAGCGACGCUCCUGCAGGCGCCAUUACUCCAAGCGCGCAGCGCCCCGCGAUAUUAGGUCGCAGAUGUUUGUUUUUAGACUGGCUUUAAAGGAGCGCAUUGGUUGUUUGGACCUCUGUCAUGGCGGAGUUAUGAAGAGCGUGACGUCACCUCAGAAGGCUGCAAAAAUGUCAGUCUGCAUAAUGUUCAUAGAGAUAUAAAGCAAACAAGCUGCAGCUGUGAAUACGGUGAAAGGGAACCUGAAACCUGCUCACAACUGGAGCUACUGGCUCAGUUGUACUUGCUACAUGCCGUCAGUCUGGGAAAACAACGCAGUUUCAGUUUGUUUAGUUGCGUCGUUGGGUUAUAAGAAGCCGGAUCUGAGACCUUUUUGAGCCAACAGGAACGCUGCCAAAGGAGAUGAGACUGACAGUCCAAUGAUGCUCACUUAAAAAUGUGGACAGCAAGGAAGCUGAAACGUAAACACAACAUUCCUUCAAAUCUGAUCUGCAAUCACUGGUGUUGCUAAUGUUAGCUCAACUAGCUUGACACAAAGAAACAUUGGGGUGAUUUUAUCACCAGUUAAUGAUAAAUCAGCACAUUAUUUGUCACGAGGAGACGUGACUAUUGGAGACGGUGGUUUUCCCCACUAUUCACUUCUGU